GGGUGAUCCAGUCUAAUACCUGCUGCUGGAACUAGGAGGUCUGGCCACCCCAUCACCACUACCACACUGCUGCUGCUGCUGCCUUUAACAUCUAAGAUCUGUUCUCAGAGCCAGCCCAACACAGACUAACCCUGAGGCAGGGACACCUUUAAUUGGACCAGGCUGCUCCAAGCCCCACCAACCCUGUUUUUCUGCUGGAUUUGUGAGCUGAAGUGACACAUAUGGAGACCCACCACAUGCUAAAGCUGCUGGAAGGGCAAGAGGUGACAAAACAGCAAGAUCUGGUGCUGUGAGUUUGAAACAACUCUGCCAAUUCCUGAUUCUAUUAAGGAUUCUCCCAUUACUGAAGCAGUACAAAUAAAAGUAUGGAAAACCAUCUGA